CCCUUAGAUGUUCUGGGCAGCACGCGCGCUACAAUGGUCUUCGCAAACGGAUGCAUUCUCGAAGGAGAAUGCCAAUCUUGGAAUCUAUGCCUUGGUCGGGACAGUUGCUUGCAAUUUUUCGACUCGAACCAGGAAUUCCUUGUAAUCGUGAUUCAUCACAUCACGAUGAAUACGUCCCUGCCCUUUGUACACACCGCCCGUCGCUCCUACCGAUCGAAGAGUUAGGUGAAUUGUUUUGAUCGAUAAGAUUUGACUAUGGUCAACUCUCGUUGUGAAAUUCUGUGAAUCUGACUGUUUAGAGGAGGGAAAAGUCGUAGCA
rnacentral:rRNA from 1 species